rnacentral:rRNA from 1 species
AGUGAACGCUGGCGGUAGGCCUAACACAUGCAAGUCGAACGGCAGCACAGUAAGAGCUUGCUCUUACGGGUGGCGAGUGGCGGACGGGUGAGGAAUACAUCGGAAUCUACUUUUUCGUGGGGGUUAACGUAGGGAAACUUACGCUAAUACCGCAUACGACCUACGGGGGAAAGCAGGGGAUCUUCGGACCUUGCGCGAUUGAAUGAGCCGAUGUCGGAUUAGCUAGUUGGCGGGGUAAAGGCCCACCAAGGCGACGAUCCGUAGCUGGUCUGAGAGGAUGAUCAGCCACACUGGAACUGGGACACGGUCCAGACUCCUACGGGAGGCAGCAGUGGGGAAUAUUGGACAAUGGGCGCAAGCCUGAUCCAGCCAUACCGCGUGGGUGAAGAAGGCCUUCGGGUUGUAAAGCCCUUUUGUUGGGAAAGAAAAGCAGCAGGUUAAUACCCCGCUGUUCUGACGGUACCCAAAGAAUAAGCACCGGCUAACUUCGUG